AUUGAACGCUGGCGGCAUGCCUUACACAUGCAAGUCGAACGGUAACAGGUCUUCGGAUGCUGACGAGUGGCGAACGGGUGAGUAAUACAUCGGAACGUGCCUAGUAGUGGGGGAUAACUACUCGAAAGAGUGGCUAAUACCGCAUGAGAUCUACGGAUGAAAGCAGGGGAUCGCAAGACCUUGUGCUACUAGAGCGGCCGAUGGCAGAUUAGGUAGUUGGUGGGAUAAAAGCUUACCAAGCCGACGAUCUGUAGCUGGUCUGAGAGGACGAUCGGCCACCCGGGGACUGAGACACGGCCCAGACUCCUACGGGAGGCAGCAGUGGGGAAUUUUGGACAAUGGGCGAAAGCCUGAUCCAGCAAUGCCGCGUGCAGGAUGAAGGCCUUCGGGUUGUAAACUGCUUUUGUACGGAACGAAAAGCCCCGGGUUAAUACCCUGGGGUCAUGACGGUACCGUAAGAAUAAGCACCGGCUAACUACGUGCCAGCCGCCGCGGUAA
rnacentral:rRNA from 1 species